GACCCUGCAGGGAGGGAGAGAGGGAGAGAGGCUGUGAGUCCACUAUGCUGGAACAAGGAGGUGGGCGCCAUGGGAAUCCACUCAAAGGAGACUUUCUGAAUGGCAGUUUCUCAAACUUUUGAAGCAAGCCCCAGUGCUGUUGUGUGGUGUACACUGGGCACAAAAACACAUGGCUGUAACUCAGAAACACCAUUUUAGAAAGCACUGCGUGGUGACUGUGAAAGCUCACCGGGCCUUCCACUGCUUUCUCCUCCCCUUUAAUUGUUGUUUUUCUCUUCUAAAAAUUAAAACCAUGCUGGGAAGGCUCAUUAAUUGAUCGUACUGCCCACUAAUGCGAGGUGAUCUACAGUUUGGAAAAACACAAAUCGUUUCUAGAGUAUGUUUCCAGAAAUCUCCAAGUUAAUGGAGAUUACUUAACCAAGUGGAAUCGGGCUGGAUUGCUUUGUUUUACAAACAAUACAAACAAUGAGGUCUUCUGUUUAAGUGCCUCAGAGCAUAGGGGUAAAGCAGGCACAAAGUGGGGGGGGGUGUUCCCUGGAGUCCAGCACAAUUGAGCUUUGCUUCAUAGUGGUAAACACUCAUCAUCAUCAUCAUCGUCAUCACCAUCAUCAUCAGGCACAGCAGCAGCAGCAGCAGCAGCAGCAUCUGCAUCCCAGCUCUCUCUCUGUACCAGGCACUGCUCACGUAAUUAAACCUACUUCAUCCUCACUGGAGCUCCACAAGGUUAGGUACUGUUAUUUCCGUUUACUCCUGAGAAAACCACGGCUGCUAGAAGCUAGCAAAUUUGCAAGCAAGAUUCAACAUGCAAAAUUCAAAACGAGAUCUCCCCUGACUCGAGUCUGUGCUCUUCACGAGCAAGCUUGGCGGGGUUGACAGACCACUGCUGUCCAUGAACAAAAGCUACAAGCUGCUCCAGUGACCGACACACUUCCCUGAGCUGCCUCGGAAGUGACAGAACUGAGCGAGAGAGGAAUGCAGGACUCAGGUAGAGUGGACACACCCAGUGCCACUGAGCCAGAGGGCAUGGCUUCAGGGCCAGAGUCAGAUCCUAGAACAAUGAGCCUCAGAAUGGAGCAGUGGCAGACAGAUAGAAGGGCGGAUAUCCUAGUGGCCAGCUGGACUAUAGCUAACAGUCAGAGGCCCCUAGUCCAUGGCUAGGAUUCUCUCUCUAUCUCAUGAGGAAGCCAAAGGAAAACCCACAUGAAUGAUCAAGACUGUCUUCCCUAGUUAGCGUCAACUGUCAACUUGACACAGCCCAGAAUUAUCUGAGGGAGUCUCAAUUGAAGCAUUCUCUAUAACUGCACUCUGGGGGAACAGUUUCUUGAUGGCCAAUUUGUGUAGAGGGCAGCAAUUCACUGUGGGGUUUGUCAACUCAAGGCAGGGGGUCCUAGACUAUGUAAGAAAGCUAGCUGAGCGGAGGUUAGGGAGCAUUUAGCAGUGUUCCUCUGUGGUUUCUGCUUCAAGCUCCUGCCUUGAGUUUCUGUUCCAACUUCCGUCAGUGCUAAAUAGUGUUUUGGAAGAGUAAGGUGAAAUAAACCCUGUCCCCCUCAAGUUGCUUUUUGUCACAACAGGAGAGUAAAGUAGAGUACCAUCCAUGUAGCCUCCAGUCAAAAACAGUAGACACAACAAUCCUUUCUGUUACAUCUACACAAUAGUCAAGACUUCCCUGGACUGGAUCCUUGAACUCCUUGUGCAGAGCGGUCACUGCUGUUUUUUCAUCUUUUGUAUUCCUUCGUCCUUGCAUCAGCCCUGGAAAUCAACUGCUCCUAACCCAUUUUAUGGAUGAAGAACUGAGGCUUAGGGCGUGAAAUCCUGGCCUGAGGAUACACAGUCAGUGACGGGGAGAUCUGUGAACCACAGCUAGCCUGACUUCCAGUUGACUUGAUAUCGGAGUUUGAUGAGAAGGGGGGUUGCCACAAGAGUCCUGGAUGAAACUAAGCUGAAGGCAGAUCCCGAACACCAACAGGACCCCGAGUUUCAUUGGCUGCUGCUCAAGUGCCCUUUGGAGAUUCUGUUCCACUGACCACACCCACGGGUGGCCUCGGAUGCCCAGGCUGAGAGGAGGCAGAGACUCACUUGCAAGAGGUCCAUUUUAAUUACAGCGGCAAAGCAGAUGGGCAAUGCCAUAAGUCAGCAGAUCGAUGGGUGAAGACUAGGAAGUUCUAUAGACAGCAGGAAAAAACGAAGGCGGCUCAGAUCUCUCUGGGUACCUCAUAGAUGUCCUGAUGCGCACCAGCACCAUUCCACAGGCAACGCUCACAAGAACCUAGCGAAGAGCUAUUACAGUGAACCCUGCUCUUCAGACACAGAGAUGGAGGCACGGAAGGAUCCAGCCACCCAAGGAAGAGUCUGGACCUUUAUGGCCUGGAUUCAGACUCCAUAGCCCAUCUGCUUUCCUAGGACGCUCGAGGCUCUCCAAGUGUGUCACCUGGACUGGUAGCAUCUGGGAACUUACUGAAUCUCAGGAUCUACACAAAACACCACCGAUUUGGGGGUGGAGCCCUGAAUGCCAUGCAUUUACCAAUCCUGGAAGGGUCUAUGGCUCACACUCAAAUUUGAAGCUUGCUCUGUGGCUGAGGCUAGCAUGGUGGCCUACAUCUAGUCUUGGACAGGAGGCAGUGCAGGAGUCUUAUGCAUGGCCGGAAACCCAGAGUCAGAGUACAGGGGUAAGAAUCCAGCGGCUUCUCCUAAGAGAGAGCUAUAGAGGAAGUGCCCCAGAACUUUCUGGGAAAGCUGAACCUUCCCUGUAACUUAGGAACAUAGCAGCUGAGUGGCUUCCCAGCCAGGUCGACUGUGUGAAUCACCAGAUUUUACAGAUAGGAAGCAGUUUGUCCCAGGGCCAGGGGGAGGCUGCCACAUGCUCUCCACUGAUGAGAAGGAGGGUGACUGGCGCGAAGCUUAUGUAGGGAUGUCCCUGGAAGUAGGUGGGUAGAGAAGGAGCUUGGCAGAUCCAGGCGCUGUUGGGCAAGGGUUAUGUGGCCAGCCACGAGGAGUCUGUGUUGCUCUAUGGAAGGACUGUGCAGUCUAGAAGCACCUGGUUCCACAGCUUCAUCCCAAUCUGUCUUGUCCCACAUAUAGUUAGAGAUGGACAGACAUCCAGGGGAAGCCACUCCAGCUUCAACAGGAAGUAGGCCUGCAGCUCCCUAUUGGAACCCCUUCUGCUCAUCCACAGAUGUAUCACGCUAUAUCUCAGGAGCAGCUCUCUCCCCCUGCCUGGUCUCCCAGAAGCCCCAGUUUUUCACUACUCUGUCACCAUCUGUUCACUUGUCCUUGUCCCUCACUGACCUGCAGGUGCUGCAGGGGAUAGCUGAAAUCUCCUGUCUUUUCUCUAAAGCCUCCAGACUCCCCCUACAGCUUCUGGACACAGUCUUGCCUGAGACUUGGCAAAGGUCAAACAGUUGGUGGAUGAAUACAUGAAUGAAUGAAUGAAUGAAUGAAUGAACAAAUGAAUAAACAAAUAAUGCAUAAGUGAACCAACUUAGUGAAUUCUGGACAAGAAUAACUGUAUGCCCACCUUAGCACUGUAUAUUUAUUAAUCAUUGAUCAGAAAGAACUAGUAUAGGCACUGGGAUCAUUUUGGAAGAGGCAGAAGAAUAUGGGAGUUGGAGGAUGUAGACAAGAGUUGUGAAAUAUUGCUUUGUGGCCAUGGAUAAGGAAAUCAACCUCCAUUAUUGGUAGUUGCCUAUACAAGACCCAUAUAGAUCAAACCAGCCAAAAUUCUGGUGUAUGAGGAAUGUGAUCUCUAGGCCCAAACUCAAAUUAAGGAGCCAUUAGCAGAAGGUGUUUGGUGAGAUUUUAGAGACAUCACUGGUAGGUUUCCAAAAAUAUAGUGGAUGGUUUUGCACCCAUGCCUGUAGGAGAAGUACUAAUUGAACCUGGUGUGUUAUUUUAAAAAGUUAUAAAAAUGAGAGGAGGUAUAUUAGUGGGCAUGAGGAUGAGAAAGGGAGAAUAUUGGGAGUAGAUAUGAUCACAUUUCGUGAGUACAUGUAUUACAUUCUAAAAACAAAAUAUCCAUUAAAAACCUCAAUCAAUAAAUCAAUCAACAAAAUUUAAAAAAAGAACUCUUAUAAAAGCCAAUCUUUGUUCACCAAUACCAACAUUUAGUUAACAUGUACUUUUUAACCCCACCCUCAU